rnacentral:tRNA from 1 species
GCCGCGUUAGCGUAGUGGUAGCGCGUCGCACUUGUACUUUACUUCCACUGCGAAGUAAAUGCCAUGCGAAGGUCACUCGUUCAAUCCGGGUACGUGGCA